UGGGGAAGCAGCUCUUGUCCUCGGUGAGCAAGCUGGGGGUGUGGUGCUGCCCGUGGUGAGCAGACGGAAGUCGCUGUGGGUGGCGGUGGGUUUGAGGUGCCAGAGACUGAGUGAUGUGGCCAGGAGGUGAGCACUUGCAUCUGCAGGCCUGGUCAGCAGGAGACGGGGUACAAAAAGAUUCGGGGGAGUGUGGCUUGAUCUGGAGAUUCAUAUCUCUUGGUCACUGGUACUGGGGCAUAUGGGACCAGGAACUGGAAUAGAACAGGAGGAGAAACUGAGGCAAGGCUUGGGAAAGACAGGGCAAACUGAAAAAAAAAAAAGGCAUGUGGAGGAGUGUCCAGUUGGGUGUGGAAGAGGGCGAGAGCCUGUGAGCAAGGCCUGUGGGAGAUUGAGAAAGAGGUUCUGGGAAUGUUGAGUAGUGUCUUCUGGUUGGCAUGGGGGUAGGGCUAGCUAGGCUCCCAGGGUAGGAGGCUCCAACUCAGGCCUCCAAGGUGUGAGCUUCAGUUCUGCACAGGCAAGAGCUAAGGAAGACUUGCAGGUAGGGAGAGACACAAGAAGCCAAGAGGUGGGACAGCUGCAGAAGUCCAGGCCUUAGGGCACUCAGAGCUGCGGGCACCUCUGCCCCCACCCCUAUCCCCAGCCACGUGUGUGCCCACUGCAUGACCCUCACCUCUCUGACCUCAAUCUCUCACCUGCAAAAUAGGACUGCUAAGUCCUGCCUCAUGGAACCACAGGGAGGCCGGAGGAGCUAGAGUAGAGCCUUAAUAAAUGCCAACUGCCCACAGUGCUCGGAAAGCACUCGUGGGAGGCUUUUUCUCCUGCCUUUUCUGUUCUGGCUUGGCUGAGUAAUUCCGAAAGAUGUAAAACCUCUUCAGAGCCUCAGUUGCCUGCUACCAGGGGAUGAUAAUGGAGGUGACUUCAGAUUUCGUUGAGCAAGACUGUACUUGCCCACCACUGUACCCACAAUCAGAGUCAAGCCCAAACUCCAGCUCCCAGCCCUGUUUGACCUCCCCUCUGGGUCUGCUCUUAGGGCUCUUUGGCUGUUCCCACAUCUGAUGGUCUAGUGUUGACACUGGGUGGCUCCAGUGCUUGGAACAUGUCUCUCGGGAACCCCGUGCACUCAUUCCCUCACCUGUGUCCAGGGCUUGCUCAAAUCUACCCCUCUGCCCUGCUUGACUCCUGCAAUACAUCAAACUUCCAGCAUGGGAGCCCCCUUUCCCAGAUGCAUGAUCUUUUUCUCUGUGGCCACUUUGCUUCUAACAGGCCCUGGAAGCCACCACACAUCUACAGUUUGUCAUCUCUUUGUCCCUGCUGUGUGGGCAGGAAGAUUCCCGCCUCUUCUGGUCACCUGGCAGCUAGAGAACCCAACAGUCCCAGUUAGAGCAGAGAAAGAUGGCUGAACAGAGCUGUACGAGCCUCUGACCGUGGCAUCCGGGAAGCAGAAACAGAAGACCUGUAAGUUCAAGGCCAGAAAAAAAAAAAAAAGAAUAAAGAAAGAAUAACCCAGAUCGAUAAGGACCUGGUUAUAGAAACCGUGACCACGAGACACUAUCCAGCAACGACAAGAACCACAGCAACAUGCAUCCACACGGGCCACAGGGGCGAUACCCAAGUUCCUGCAAGUUUCCUCUAUCAUUUUCUGUUAUGAAAAUAAAUUAGAAAGCCAGUCUAGGUUAGAGAGGGAGUUCCAGGCUAACCAGACCGGCAUGGGUCAAUUGUAAGUAAGCGAGUACAUUAAAUAAAUAAAAGCGAAGAACUAGAAUGUACAUCUAGACACGUUUAUAAGGAAGAGCAGACAGGGCUGUAGCUGAGUCUUGGCCGGUACUCGCGAGACCUUUAUUUCAAUCCCCAGUACCACAAAGAAGCAGGACUGAGGGACAGGCUGGGAAUCCCAGCUUCUGGAGAAAAUGAGAUGAGUGUGUGUCUGGGGGUGGGCAGGAAGUUCCAGACCUGCUGGGCAAUUCAGUGACAUUUUGUUUCAUAUUAAACUGUAAAGGGAAGCCAGGAAGAUACAACUCAGUGGUAGAGCACUUGCCUGCCUUAUGUGAGGCCCUGGGUUCAGCCUCAGUGCAAGACAGAAAGAAAAAUCAAGGAAAUAAAGUUAGGGUACAGUUCCUUCUAGAAGGAAAUGAGGGGAGGGCACCUAGGGCUUGCUUCAACCUGGGCUUCUCUCUCCUGGCUUUCUUUAACAGCUCCAUUCCCAGACCUGAUGUUCAUGUCUUCGCCCGGGUAAUUAUGUCCCAGGUGUUAACCCCACAGUUAUUUUUCGCCGCCCCUACGUAUGUUCUGUACUCUGUUUUAUGAAUGGUGUCCCAUGGUCUGCAGAUACACAGCCGGACGGGGAGACACACAUUCAGUGCCUCGCUGCUGGGUUUGUUCUUUUCUGUUUUUCAGUACCUGGGAAUCAAACUCGUGGCCUUGCGCUUGUUAGGGAAGCACUCUAAACACUGGGGUACAUCUUCAGCUGUAGUCCUUGCUACUUAUGAGAUUGAGGGUCACUCGAGCCCAGGAAUUUGGGGAUAACCAUCACAAGACACUAUCUCAAUAAAAUAAAUACGUUUUUUAUAUGUAUUUAGUGUGUGUGCAUCGUGGCCUGCGGUGAGGGCGUGCAUGCGAGCUAUGCACAUGUGCGGAGGUGAG
ensembl:lncRNA